UACGAAGGGGGCUAGCGUUGUUCAGAAUUACUGGGCGUAAAGGGCGCGUAGGCGGUCCCUCAAGUCAGAUGUGAAAGCCCUGGGCUUAACCUAGGAGGUGCAUUUGAUACUGAAGGACUUGAGAUCGAGAGAGGAGAAUGGAAUUGCGAGUGUAGAGGUGAAAUUCGUAGAUAUCCGCAAGAACACCGGUGGCGAAGGCGAUUCUCUGGUUCGAUACUGACGCUAAGGCGCGAAAGCGUGGGGAGCAAACAGG
rnacentral:rRNA from 1 species